rnacentral:rRNA from 1 species
GAUGAACGCUAGCUACAGGCUUAACACAUGCAAGUCGAGGGGAAACGACAUCGAAAGCUUGCUUUUGAUGGGCGUCGACCGGCGCACGGGUGAGUAACGCGUAUCCAACCUGCCCACCACUUGGGGAUAACCUUGCGAAAGUAAGACUAAUACCCAAUGAUAUCUCUAGAAGACAUCUGAAAGAGAUUAAAGAUUUAUCGGUGAUGGAUGGGGAUGCGUCUGAUUAGCUUGUUGGCGGGGUAACGGCCCACCAAGGCGACGAUCAGUAGGGGUUCUGAGAGGAAGGUCCCCCACAUUGGAACUGAGACACGGUCCAAACUCCUACGGGAGGCAGCAGUGAGGAAUAUUGGUCAAUGGACGAGAGUCUGAACCAGCCAAGUAGCGUGCAGGAUGACGGCCCUAUGGGUUGUAAACUGCUUUUAUAAGGGAAUAAAGUGAGCCUCGUGAGGCUUUUUGCAUGUACCUUAUGAAUAAGGACCGGCUAAUUCCGUGCCAGCAGCCG